rnacentral:rRNA from 1 species
UACGGGGAGGGCUAGCGUUGUUCGGAAUUACUGGGCGUAAAGGGCUCGUAGGCGGCCAACUAAGUCGGAUGUGAAAUCCCCAGGCUCAACCUGGGAACUGCAUCCGAUACUGGAUGGCUUGAAUCCGGGAGAGGGAUGCAGAAUUCCUGGUGUAGCGGUGGAAUGCGCAGAUAUCAGGAGGAACACCGAUGGCGAAGGCAGGUCUCUGGGCACUUACUGACGCUGAGGAGCGAAAGCGUGGGGAGCGAACAGG